UACGUAGGUGGCAAGCGUUAUCCGGAAUUACUGGGCGUAAAGCGCACGCAGGCGGUCUUUUAAGUUUGACGUGAAAGCUCCCGGCUUAACUGGGAGAGGUCGUUGAAUACUGGGAGACUUGAGUUUAGGAGAGGGGUGUAGAAUUCCCGGUGUAGUGGUGGAAUGCGUAGAUAUCGGGGGGAAUACCAGUGGCGAAAGCGGCACCCUAGCCUUUGACUGACGCUCAUGUGCGAAAGCGUGGGGAGCGAACGGG
rnacentral:rRNA from 1 species